AUACGGAGGAUCCGAGCGUUAUCCGGAUUUAUUGGGUUUAAAGGGAGCGUAGGUGGAUUGUUAAGUCAGUUGUGAAAGUUUGCGGCUCAACCGUAAAAUUGCAGUUGAAACUGGCAGUCUUGAGUACAGUAGAGGGGGGCGGAAUUCGUGGUGUAGCGGUGAAAUGCUUAGAUAUCACGAAGAACUCCGAUUGCGAAGGCAGCUCACUAGACUGUUACUGACACUGAUGCUCGAAAGUGUGGGUAUCAAACAGGAUUAGAUACCCUGGUAGUCCACACAGUAAACGAUGAAUACUCGCUGUUUGCGAUAUACAGUAAGCGGCCAAGCGAAAGCAUUAAGUAUUCCACCUGGGGAGUACGCCGGCAACGGUGAAACUCAAAGGAAUUGACGGGG
rnacentral:rRNA from 1 species